rnacentral:rRNA from 1 species
GACGAACGCUGGCGGCGUGCUUAACACAUGCAAGUCGAACGGAAAGGCCCUGCUUUUGUGGGGUGCUCGAGUGGCGAACGGGUGAGUAACACGUGAGUAACCUGCCCUUGACUUUGGGAUAACUUCAGGAAAUUGGGGCUAAUACCGGAUAGGAGCUCCUGCUGCAUGGUGGGGGUUGGAAAGUUUCGGCGGUUGGGGUUGGACUCGCGGCUUAUCAGCUUGUUGGUGGGGUAGUGGCUUACCAAGGCUUUGACGGGUAGCCGGCCUGAGAGGGUGACCGGCCACAUUGGGACUGGGAUACGGCCCAGACUCCUACGGGAGGCAGCAGUGGGGAAUAUUGCACAAUGGGCGGAAGCCUGAUGCAGCAACGCCGCGUGCGGGAUGACGGCCUUCGGGUUGUAAACCGCUUUCGCCUGUGACGAAGCGUGAGUGACGGUAAUGGGUAAAGAAGCACCGGCUAACUACGUG